rnacentral:rRNA from 1 species
GAAGCAACAAAUGCCCUGCUUCCAGGAAAAGCCUCUAAGCAUCAGGUAACAUCAAAUCGUACCCCAAACCGACACAGGUGGUCAGGUAGAGAAUACCAAGGCGCUUGAGAGAACUCGGGUGAAGGAACUAGGCAAAAUGGUGCCGUAACUUCGGGAGAAGGCACGCUGAUAUGUAGGUGAAGUCCCUCGCGGAUGGAGCUGAAAUCAGUCGAAGAUACCAGCUGGCUGCAACUGUUUAUUAAAAACACAGCACUGUGCAAACACGAAAGUGGACGUAUACGGUGUGACGCCUGCCCGGUGCCGGAAGGUUAAUUGAUGGGGUCAGCGCAAGCGAAGCUCUUGAUCGAAGCCCCGGUAAACGGCGGCCGUAACUAUAACGGUCCUAAGGUAGCGAAAUUCCUUGUCGGGUAAGUUCCGACCUGCACGAAUGGCGUAAUGAUGGCCAGGCUGUCUCCACCCGAGACUCAGUGAAAUUGAACUCGCUGUGAAGAUGCAGUGUACCCGCGGCAAGACGGAAAGACCCCGUGAACCUUUACUAUAGCUUGACACUGAACAUUGAGCCUUGAUGUGUAGGAUAGGUGGGAGGCUUUGAAGUGUGGACGCCAGUCUGCAUGGAGCCGACCUUGAAAUACCACCCUUUAAUGUUUGAUGUUCUAACGUGGACCCGUGAUCCGGGUUGCGGACAGUGUCUGGUGGGUAGUUUGACUGGGGCGGUCUCCUCCUAAAGAGUAACGGAGGAGCACGAAGGUUGGCUAAUCCUGGUCGGACAUCAGGAGGUUAGUGCAAUGGCAUAAGCCAGCUUGACUGCGAGCGUGACGGCGCGAGCAGGUGCGAAAGCAGGUCAUAGUGAUCCGGUGGUUCUGAAUGGAAGGGCCAUCGCUCAACGGAUAAAAGGUACUCCGGGGAUAACAGGCUGAUACCGCCCAAGAGUUCAUAUCGACGGCGGUGUUUGGCACCUCGAUGUCGGCUCAUCACAUCCUGGGGCUGAAGUAGGUCCCAAGGGUAUGGCUGUUCGCCAUUUAAAGUGGUACGCGAGCUGGGUUUAGAACGUCGUGAGACAGUUCGGUCCCUAUCUGCCGUGGGCGCUGGAGAACUGAGGGGGGCUGCUCCUAGUACGAGAGGACCGGAGUGGACGCAUCACUGGUGUUCGGGUUGUCAUGCCAAUGGCACUGCCCGGUAGCUAAAUGCGGAAGAGAUAAGUGCUGAAAGCAUCUAAGCACGAAACUUGCCCCGAGAUGAGUUCUCCCUGACCCUUUAAGGGUCCUGAAGGAACGUUGAAGACGACGACGUUGAUAGGCCGGGUGUGUAAGCGCAGCGAUGCGUUGAGCUAACCGGUACUAAUGAACCGUGAGGCUUAACCUUACAACGCCGAAGGUGUUU